rnacentral:rRNA from 1 species
CUUGUGGAAGGAUCAUUG